rnacentral:rRNA from 1 species
AGUGAACGCUGGCGGUAGGCCUAACACAUGCAAGUCGAACGGCAGCACAGUAAGAGCUUGCUCUUACGGGUGGCGAGUGGCGGACGGGUGAGGAAUACAUCGGAAUCUACUUUUUCGUGGGGGAUAACGUAGGGAAACUUACGCUAAUACCGCAUACGACCUACGGGUGAAAGCAGGGGAUCUUCGGACCUUGCGCGAUUGAAUGAGCCGAUGUCGGAUUAGCUAGUUGGCGGGGUAAAGGCCCACCAAGGCGACGAUCCGUAGCUGGUGUGAGAGGAUGAUCGGCCACACUGGAACUGAGACACGGUCCAGACUCCUACGGGAGGCAGCAGUGGGGAAUAUUGGACAAUGGGCGCAAGCCUGAUCCAGCCAUACCGCGUGGGUGAAGAAGGCCUUCGGGUUGUAAAGCCCUUUUGUUGGGAAAGAAAAGCAGCAGGUUAAUACCCCGCUGUUCUGACGGUACCCAAAGAAUAAGCACCGGCUAACUUCGUG